UACGGAGGAUCCGAGCGUUAUCCGGAUUUAUUGGGUUUAAAGGGUGCGUAGGCGGGAGAUUAAGUCGGUGGUGAAAUUUUGCAGCUCAACUGUAAAAGUGCCAUUGAUACUGGUUUCCUUGAGUGUGGAUGAAGUAGGCGGAAUUUGUGGUGUAGCGGUGAAAUGCAUAGAUAUCACGAGGAACUCCGAUUGCGCAGGCAGCUUACUAAUCCACAACUGACACUGAGGCACGAAAGCGUGGGGAUCAAACAGGAUUAGAUA
rnacentral:rRNA from 1 species